rnacentral:rRNA from 1 species
UACAGAGGUCUCAAGCGUUGUUCGGAUUCAUUGGGCGUAAAGGGUGCGUAGGUGGCGCCGUAAGUCAGGUGUGAAAUUUCGAGGCUUAACCUCGAAACUGCAUUUGAUACUGCGGUGCUUGAGCACUGUAGGGGCAGAUGGAAUUCCGGGUGUAGCGGUGGAAUGCGUAGAGAUCCGGAAGAACACCGGUGGCGAAGGCGGUCUGCUGGGCAGUUGCUGACACUGAGGCGCGACAGCGUGGGGAGCAAACAGG